AUUGAACGCUGGCGGCAGGCCUAACACAUGCAAGUCGAGCGGAGCGGCGGACGGGUGAGUAAUGCCUAGGAAUAUGCCUGGUAGUGGGGGAAAAAGUCCGGAAACGGGCGCUAAUACCGCAUACUAUCAGAUGAGCCUAGGUCGGUUUAGUAAGUGGGUGGGGUAAAGGCCUACCAAGGCGACGAUCCGUAACGGGUCUGAGAGGAUGAUCAGUCACACUGGAACGGAGACACGGUCCAGAUUCCUACGGGAGGCAGCAGUGGGGAAUAUUGGACAAUGGGCGAAAGCCUGAUCCAGCCAUGCCGCGUGUGUGAAGAGGGUCUGCGGAUUUUAAAGCACUUUAAGUUGGGAGGCGUUACCAACAGAAUAAGCACCGGCUAACUUCGUGCCAGCAGCCGCGGUAAUAC
rnacentral:rRNA from 1 species